GCGCCUACGGGAGGCAGCAGUGGGGAAUAUUGCACAAUGGGGGAAACCCUGAUGCAGCGACGCCGCGUGAGUGAAGAAGUAUUUCGGUAUGUAAAGCUCUAUCAGCAGGGAAGAAAUAGCGACCUUUGGGUCGCCAGACGGUACCUGAUUAAGAAGCCCCGGCUAACUACGUGCCAGCAGCCGCGGUAAUACGUAGGGGGCAAGCGUUAUCCGGAUUUACUGGGUGUAAAGGGUGCGCAGGCGGAGGUGCAAGUCAGUGGUCAAAUUGCGGGGCUCAACCCCGUACUGCCGUUGAAACUGCAUCC
rnacentral:rRNA from 1 species